rnacentral:lncRNA from 1 species
ACCUAUUCUACCACUCAAAAAAAAAAUCUCGAUUCCUAAAAUUAAAGAAACAACCUAGUAUGCCCCCUUCAUCUCCAAUUUCUUUCUCUCCCUUUCCGAUUUUAUGGAGUAGCUACUGAAGGAGCCGGCGGCGAGGAUGCCGGCCUCCAAUGAUGAAACUGACGGUGAUGGAAGUCUUCAUCUCAAGCAAGGCCUUUCCACCAUCACAUACACGUUUUGCACUAGAAUGAAGGUCAUCAUGAGUAUUCAUGACUUUGAUGAGUUUGAAGAGGCUGGCAUUGGAUAAGAACUUUUUCAUCCUAGCCGUCCAUAGAUGGUGGAUCUGC